rnacentral:snRNA from 1 species
UUUGUUACAAUGUUGUAU